GAUGAACGCUGGCGGCGUGCCUAAUACAUGCAAGUCGAGCGAACGGACGAGAAGCUUGCUUCUCUGAUGUUAGCGGCGGACGGGUGAGUAACACGUGGAUAACCUACCUAUAAGACUGGGAUAACUUCGGGAAACCGUAGCUAAUACCGGAUAAUAUUUUGAACCGCAUGGUUCAAAAGUGAAAGACGGUCUUGCUGUCACUUAUAGAUGGAUCCGCGCUGCAUUAGCUAGUUGGUAAGGUAACGGCUUACCAAGGCAACGAUGCAUAGCCGACCUGAGAGGGUGAUCGGCCACACUGGAACUGAGACACGGUCCAGACUCCUACGGGAGGCAGCAGUAGGGAAUCUUCCGCAAAGGGCGAAAGCCUGACGGAGCAACGCCGCGUGAGUGAUGAAGGUCUUCGGAUCGUAAAGCUCUGUUAUUAGGGAAGAACAUAUGUGGAAGUAACUGUGGACAUCUUGACGGUACCUAAUCAGAAAGCCACGGCUAACUACGUG
rnacentral:rRNA from 1 species